UACGUAGGCAGCAAGCGUUGUUCGGAGUUACUGGGCGUAAAGGGUGUGUAGGCGGUUAUUUAAGUUUGGUGUGAAAUCUCCCGGCUCAACCGGGAGGGUGCGCCGAAUACUGAAUGACUUGGAGUGCGGGAGAGGGAAGUGGAAUUCCUGGUGUAGCGGUGAAAUGCGUAGAUAUCAGGAGGAACACCGGUGGUGUAGACGGCUUUCUGGACCGUAACUGACGCUGAGACACGAAAGCGUGGGUAGCAAACAGG
rnacentral:rRNA from 1 species